rnacentral:rRNA from 1 species
GAUGAACGCUGGCGGCGUGCCUAAUACAUGCAAGUCGAGCGAACAGACGAGGAGCUUGCUCCUCUGACGUUAGCGGCGGACGGGUGAGUAACACGUGGAUAACCUACCUAUAAGACUGGGAUAACUUCGGGAAACCGGAGCUAAUACCGGAUAAUAUAUUGAACCGCAUGGUUCAAUAGUGAAAGACGGUUUUGCUGUCACUUAUAGAUGGAUCCGCGCCGCAUUAGCUAGUUGGUAAGGUAACGGCUUACCAAGGCAACGAUGCGUAGCCGACCUGAGAGGGUGAUCGGCCACACUGGAACUGAGACACGGUCCAGGCUCCUACGGGAGGCAGCAGUAGGGAAUCUUCCGCAAUGGGCGAAAGCCUGACGGAGCAACGCCGCGUGAGUGAUGAAGGUCUUCGGAUCGUAAAACUCUGUUAUUAGGGAAGGACAAAUGUGUAAGUAACUAUGCACGUCUUGACGGUACCUAAUCAGAAAGCCACGGCUAACUACGUG